rnacentral:rRNA from 1 species
AUUGAACGCUAGCGGCAGGCUUAAUACAUGCAAGUCGAGGGGUAGCAAGAUUGUAGCAAUACAAUUGUUGACGACCGGCAAACGGGUGCGGAACACGUACACAACCUUCCUACAAGUGGGGAAUAGCCCAGAGAAAUUUGGAUUAAUACCCCGUAACAUAGCGAUGUGGCAUCACAUUGCUAUUAUAGCUUCGGCGCUUGUUGAUGGGUGUGCGGCUGAUUAGAUAGUUGGCGGGGUAACGGCCCACCAAGUCUACGAUCAGUAGCUGAUGUGAGAGCAUGAUCAGCCACACGGGCACUGAGACACGGGCCCGACUCCUACGGGAGGCAGCAGUAAGGAAUAUUGGACAAUGGACGCAAGUCUGAUCCAGCCAUGCCGCGUGAAGGAUUAAGGUCCUCUGGAUUGUAAACUUCUUUUAUAAGGGACGAAAAAAGGUCUUUCUAGAUCGUCUGACGGUACCUUAUGAAUAAGCACCGGCUAACUCCGUGCCAGCCGCCGCAGUAAGAC